AGAGAGGGAGGGAGAGGGCAGGGAAGAGGGGCAGAGAGAAAGAGAGAAAGAAUCCCAAGCUGGCUCCACACCCAUCACGGGGCCCCCACGGCCCUGGGAUCAUGACCUGAGCAAAAAUGUAGUCAGUCUCUCAGCCAGCUGAGCCACCCAAGCCACCCCUGAUUUCUAAAGCUUUAUUUGUGGGUGUAAGAGACAGUGUUGACUGAGCAUGCCUUGUUCUACUCUUUGCUGCAAUGUUAUAGGUUAGCUCAGUUUUACAGAAAUUAGAAAACGGAGCUCACGGAAGUGACUUCUUUUGCUGAAGGCCACUUAGCAGGAGAGUGGCAGAACAGACAUCACGAUCCACGCUUCUUUGUUUUAAGGCCGGUGGUGUUUUCUUGGGAGCUACAUGGGUAUACCCAGUUCUGCAUAAAGGCGCUCUCUGACCGAGGCUGGCGAGGGACCGAGGUGUGGCAAGGUGCAGAGGAGAGAGAGAGAGAGACAAUGAGCAGGGGAGGCACAGGGAGACGGAGACACAGAAUUUGAAGCAGGCUCCAGGCUCUGAGCUCUCAGCACAGAGCCCAACGUGGGGCUCGAACUCACAACCUGCAAGAUCAUGACCUGAGUAGAAGCCAGAUGCUUAAACGACUGAGCCACCCAGGAGCCCCCAGACAACCUUGUUUUAGUUUAAGAUGCCACACAUUUGGAUCCUUUCCAUUUUGGAGCAAUUAUGAAUAAGCAUCCUCCUGAAGAUCUUUGUCUGAACAUAUAUUUUCCUUUAUCCUGGGUAUAACAACUGUAAGAGGGAUGACUGUAUCAUGUGGUAAGAGUACAUUUAGCUUUCUAAGGAAAUUGUAGGCUGUUUUCUACAGUUGCUGUACCAUUUUUCAUUCCCGUAAGCCGUGAAUGGUGGUUCAAGUUGCUCUAUAUUUUUGCCAGCACUUGGCAUUGCCAAUGUAUUUCAUAUUCUAGUUGAGGUGUGGUGGCAACCUAAGGUUACGAAGAUUUUCUCCUAUGCUUUCUUCAAAAAGUUUUAUAGUUUCAAGGUGUAUAUCUCUGAUUAGUUUUGAUUGUUUUAUAUAUGGUGUGAGCCUUGGGUAGAUUUUGUUUUUUUUCCUGUCACUGUACUGUUGCUCUGUCACCAUUUAUUGAAAGGACUAACUUCCUCACUGAGUCACCUGAUAUUUGUUGAAAAUGAAUUGGCCCUAAAUAUGUAGAUCUAUUUCAAUUUUAUUGACUGUAUGUGUAUUCAUUAACCCAGGGCUUGGCAAAAUCUGGCCCAUUGCCCCUUUUUAUAUGAUCCAUAAAUUAAGAAUAAUGUCUACACUCUUAAGUGGUCAAAAAAUAAAGAAUAAUAUUUUCUGACCCCUGAAAAUUACAUGAAAUUCAAGUUUUAAUUUCCAUAAAGUCUUAUAGGAAUGUAGUCCAUUGUUCAGUUGUUUAUAUGUUAUUUGUAGCUGUUUUCACACUCUAAUGGCACAGUUGAGUAGCUGUAUCAGAAAAACUCUGACCUAGCAGCCUAAAAUAUUUACUUUCUAGCUCUUUAAAGAGAUACUUGGCCAACCAUUGCUUUAGCUGAUAUCACAUUCUCUUG